rnacentral:lncRNA from 1 species
UGCAGAUGCUUUAAUAGGGGUUGAGGUUUUUAUUUGAUUCUCAGCUUUGAUGUCCACAUAGCCCAAGUAAGACUAAGCAAAAAAACAAACAACAACAACAAAAAAAACACACAUCUGGAAGUGUCACAUUACCUGACUUCAAACUAUACUACAAGGCUAUAGUUAACAAAACAGCAUGGUACUGGUAUAAAAACAGGCAUGUAGACCAAUGAAACAGAAUAGAGAAUUCAGAAAUAAAACUAAAUACUUAUAGCCAACUAGUCUUUGACAAAGCAAACAAAAACAUAAAAUGGGGAAAGGAAAACCUAUUCAACAAAUGGUGCUGGGAUAAUUGGCAAGCCACAUGUAGAAGAAUGAAAUUGGAUACUCAUCUCUCACCUUAUACAAAGAUCAACUCAAGAUGAAUCAAAUAAUUAAAUCUAAGACCUGGAAGUAUAAAAAUUGUAGAAGAUAGCAUCAUAAAAACUGUUCUAGACAUUUGUUUAGGCAAAGACUUCAUGACCAAGAACCCAAAAGCAAAGGCAACCAAAACAAAGUUAAAUAGAUGGAACUCAAUUACACUAAACAGCUUCUGAACAGCGAAAGAGAUAAUCAGCAAAGUAAACAGAUAACUCACAGAGUUAGAGAAAAUCUUCACAAACUACACAUCCCACAAAAGACUAAUAUCCACAAUCUACAAAGUGCUGAAACAAAUCAGCAAGACAAAAACAAAUAAUCCCUCAAAAUGUGACUUAAGGACAUGAAUAGACAAUUUACAAAAGAAGAUAUACAAAUGGUGAAUGGCCAUAGUUUAAAAAUCCAAAAAUAAUAGAUGUUGGCAUGGUAGUAAUAAGGGAACACAUUUACACUGCUGGUGGGAAUGCAAGCUAGUACAACCACUAUGGCAAACAAUAUGGAUAUCCCUUAAAUAACUAAAAGUAGAACUGCCAUUUGAUCCAGCAAUUCCACUGCUGGACAUCUAUCUAGAGGAAAAUAAGUCAUUAUAUGAAAAAGACCCAUAUACACACAUGUUUAUAGCAGCACAAUUCACAAUUGCAAAACUGUGGAACCAGCCUAGAUUCCCAUCAGUCAAUGGGUGG